UAAUAAUAAUAAUAUAAAGUUGUUGUCAUUCGAGGAGAAAAAGAUACGCUGGUGCUAGCAACAGGAAUUAAGGAAGCAGAACCCGGCUGGCUUUGGAACAAUCAUUGAAUUUCGCCUAGUGCUAUACUCAAUAACAUAUAUAUGUUUGAUUAAUUUACCAUAAAGGGCAGAUGGGAUACGUUGAUAUGCAGGAAUAAAAUGAUUCAAUAUUUACUUGUUGACGCAUGAUAGGGAUCUAAAAAUAGGCAAACAAUAUUGAAGUAACACAUAGGCUAUGCUGGUCCUUUGUUCAUAUAUCGUUGGGUGCCGCUCGUGGCGAUUUUCUGGAGAUAUCACGAGUUAUCCUUUUCGUGAUUUGACAUCAUUCUCAAUGCCUUGAAGUGAGCGUUCUAUAAUCACAAACACAAAUACACGCACAUAAUUGGCGUAAUACUUUCCGUGGAACGGUGUUUUCAUAACACGAAAAUGCAAUAAUAGAACAGAAACCGAAACAGACAAACUGCCGUCUAAGAAUGGCGAUGGUCGUCAACGUAUGGCACUCUGAUUAAUGUUAUGGGGCACUGUUAUUUAGUUUGAGAAAAAUGAUGGUUAAUCCGGUUAAUCUUUUGCGCAAAGCCAAAAGUCGGUAAGAAAUAAUAUAUAAAAAUUACCUGUUGCUAGAUGCACUUUGCCUAGGGGGCUACGUGUCGCUGUGUUUUUGGCUUUGGGUGGUUAUGGCGGACGUAGGCGAAGCACGUUGUUUCUGUGUGAUCAAUUUCCUUUUUCAGCAAAACCUUUCUUGGCUGCACAACGUAUUUUAAUCUGCGUGCAGUGUAUGAACUCGUGAUAUAUGCGGACAAAGUGGAGGUAGUUACUACAGUGUCAAGAAGUUGCACUUCCAUGAAGGAUCGGUGGACGAUUUUAGCUCAACGGCUGUUUAUGCCUGCUGGCGAAGAAACGAUGGACUGUUGUCCCGCCAAGGUGCCGAUAAUGAAAGAAAACGUACCUUAUCAAGACAGCGUGACGUCCACAAGCAAGUGCCACAGAUUUUUUAUGCUCAUGACACGGAUGCAGCUCUGUGCGAGAAGUGGCAAGAACAGUGCGGUCACCUAGGGAGCUCCACGGACAGAUCAUGACUGCAAAGCGGCGCCAGCAGUUGCUGCUGUCACGAGUUGCUUUCAGGAGUACACUGCCACGAAGCCCAGCCGCAAAGGCAGAAGUCUGACUGAGUGAAUUGAUCCAAUUAACGGCUACUUGGCUGACUUCCUAAAAAGGCUCAAACACUCACGUCUCAUCCCAUCAUCUUGCGGACUGCCACACAUACCCAUGCCAUACAGCAAGGUCGGGGGCCAUACAGGCUAUGGACUCCAUAGGAGGCCAUACAGUGUACGGACUGCCAUAGGAGGCCAUUCAGUGUACGGACUGCCAUAGGAGGCCAUUCAGUGUACGGA